rnacentral:lncRNA from 1 species
AUCAAAAUCCACCAUUGUCCUUCGUUUUAACUACGAAAAACACUACAGACUACAGCUGAGUUACAAAUUUUUUUACUUGUUUUACUUUCUUGCAUCCUUCAAACUCACUCUUAUCUCUUAUGUCAAGUUUUCCUCUCUCUCACCACAACUUAUGUAUUUUCUAAAGUCUCUCAAAACCAUAGAUCUAACAUAUACGACUACUAACAACAGUGCACUUGUGAGAGAGACUCAAACUCCAUUCUUCAAUUAACCCUAAAAAACCUAGAUCAGAAUUUGAAACGCAUGCAUGAUCCAUCAUUCUCCUUCCUCUUCAAUUUUUUGGUUCACGUGUUUUUUCUUUUUUAUUUUUGAUAUUACUUCUCUACACUUCUCUUUUGUUUUCCAUUUUUCCCUUCUUUUUUUUUUUUUGCAAAACUAGUUUUUUAACCCGAAUCAACCGAUCCGUGUUACCCGUGACCCAUGAAACCCGAGACCCGAAAAAACCGAUGCAAAGUUCGGUCGAAAUUGGGCCAGUAUUUUGUAUGAUCGGUUUCAUAUGAAUGAGCCAAAACGGAACCGAAACCGACCGCACCCGACCCGUGCACAGCCC